AAAAAUUAAGACAGUACCAGCGAAUAGUGAGGUAAAAUGUCUGGUAAUAACGGCUAUUUUAUAAUACAGUAAGGGUGUAAAAUUAUGUUUAAAAAAUAAACAAUAUUUUUUUCAAUUUCAUCAGUUCCCAGAAUUUAUUUUAUUAAGUGCUCCAAGUUUUCUCCGUUAUUUGGGAGACAAUAAUAGUGUCUGUCUUGAAAUUCCUUACUAACAUUGUCUCAAGAGUUUGUCCGCUAAUAUCUCUACAUUCGCGACUAAUUCGAUCCUUUAACUCAUUAAUAAUUUCAGGUGGGGUUUUUCGAGGACUGGAUUUUUUGGACUCAAUGAAAUGUUUAUUACCAUACAUUUUUACUGGUAAAUCGCUUUAACUUGCAUCAGUUUUUUUGGCGAAGUAAGAUGGAAAAUUGUUUGCCAUUUAAAAUAUUGUGUGCCACGAUGAGGCAACCAUUUGACCUACCAAAGUUUAAGUUAAUAAAAUUGUAUCUUUUAUUACCACACAAUUUUGCUUACUAUAUGCUUAUACGUUCUCCGAUCUUGUUUUUUUCGGUUUGGUUAGAUGGGAGAUUCUGUGCCUUUUAGAAUAAUGUAUACACUUAGGAUAGCCAUUUAAAAUACAAAAGUUGGGUUGGGUUGGGUUCGGUAAAAUAUCCAUUAUUCCCAGACAUUUUUGGUCACUAUUCGCUGGUACGCGACAUAAAUCGAAUUAAGGAGAAGACAUUUUUGGUCACUAUUCGCUGGUACGCGACAUAAAUCGAAUUAAGGAGAAGGUAUUAUUGGAAAAGUGUUUUUUGAUAAACAGGAAUUUUAAAAAUCGAAGUCCUAAUGAUGAUUGGGCUUGAAAACCGGAUGAAGUUGUGGCUAUAUUUCGAGAAACUCAUGCUGAUUUGCCCCUACUGAGUCAAAGUACUGUGAUUAAAAUUGCGGAUCAGUUCAAUACUCGGGAAAAUGUUAUAAAGAAUCACCUAUAACUCCGGCAAGAUAAGUAGCACGGGAUUACGAUCGAUGUCACCAAACAGUUUUGAAAAUUCUGAAGUCACCAGGCCGCACCAAUCCAAACCGCUGAAUCCAGUCUAGGUUUUGCUAGUGGACGAUGCCGAUCGUAGAUUACAAUUUUGCGAAACCAUGAUGUAUUUGGUUGAUAAAGGUCAAAUACUUUUCAACUAGUUGUUAUUUUUAUACGAAACAAACGACUUUUACUAUUAAAUGUAUACAUGUACCUUUUUCUUUUAGGUAAAUACUAAUGUAAAAAUUGUAAUUUUUAACUUGUAAAAUUGUUAUUAUUAUACUGAAACAAACCCCAAAUGGGUUAACUUUU